rnacentral:rRNA from 1 species
AGGACGAACGCUGGCGGCGUGCCUAACACAUGCAAGUCGAGCGGGGUUGAAGCGAGGGGUAACUCGGACUUCUACCUAGCGGCGGACGGGUGAGUAACGCGUGGGCAACCUGCCUCGAAGGUUUGGGAUAACAGCUCGAAAGGGCUGCUAAUACCGGAUAUGCCUGUGGCCUCGCAUGGGGCUAUGAGCAAAGGGGAAACCCGCCUUGAGAUGGGCCCGCGUCCCAUCAGCUAGUUGGUGAGGUGAAGGCUCACCAAGGCGACGACGGGUAGCCGGCCUGAGAGGGUGACCGGCCACACUGGGACUGAGACACGGCCCAGACUCCUACGGGGGGCAGCAGUGGGGGAUCUUGCACAAUGGGCGAAAGCCUGAUGCAGCGACGCCGCGUGAGCGAAGAAGGCCUUCGGGUUGUAAAGCUCUGUCUGGAGGGACGAAACAAAUGACGGUACCUCCGGAGGAAGCCACGGCUAACUACGUG